ensembl:rRNA 5S_rRNA 5S ribosomal RNA
GACAUUUGGUGGAGACUGUGGAAGCCACCCGGUCCCGGCAGACCCCGGAAGGAGGCCACCUUCGCUGGUGCUGGAACAAGGCCGUUAAGGGUGAAGCCCGGUGCCAGACGUGU